UAAGGAAUAUUGGUCAAUGGACGAAAGUCUGAACCAGCCAUGCCGCGUGGAGGAUGAAGGUCCUCUGGAUUGUAAACUUCUUUUAUCUGGGACGAAAAAGGGAAUUCUUUCUCGUCUGACGGUACCAGAUGAAUAAGCACCGGCUAACUCCGUGCCAGCAGCCGCGGUAAUACGGAGGGUGCAAGCGGUAUCCGGAUUCACUGGGUUUAAAGGGUGCGUAGGUGGGUUGGUAAGUCAGUGGUGAAAUCCCCGAGCUUAACUUGGGAACUGCCAUUGAUACUAUCAGUCUUGAAUACCGUGGAGGUCAGCGGAAUAUGUCAUGUAGCGGUGAAAUGCUUAGAUAUGACAUAGAACACCAAUUGCGAAGGCAGCUGGCUACUCGAAUAUUGACACUGAGGCACGAAAGCGUGGGGAUCAAACAGGAUUAGAUACCCUGGUAGUCCACGCCCUAAACUAUGGAUACUCGACAUACGCGAUACACAGUGG
rnacentral:rRNA from 1 species